rnacentral:rRNA from 1 species
AUUGAACGCUGGCGGCAGGCCUAACACAUGCAAGUCGAGCGGAUGAAGGGAGCUUGCUCCUGGAUUCAGCGGCGGACGGGUGAGUAAUGCCUAGGAAUCUGCCUGGUAGUGGGGGAUAACGUCCGGAAACGGGCGCUAAUACCGCAUACGUCCUGAGGGAGAAAGUGGGGGAUCUUCGGACCUCACGCUAUCAGAUGAGCCUAGGUCGGAUUAGCUAGUUGGUGGGGUAAAGGCCUACCAAGGCGACGAUCCGUAACUGGUCUGAGAGGAUGAUCAGUCACACUGGAACUGAGACACGGUCCAGACUCCUACGGGAGGCAGCAGUGGGGAAUAUUGGACAAUGGGCGAAAGCCUGCUCCAGCCAUGCCGCGUGUGUGAAGAAGGUCUUCGGAUUGUAAAGCACUUUAAGUUGGGAGGAAGGGCAGUAAGUUAAUACCUUGCUGUUUUGACGUUACCAACAGAAUAAGCACCGGCUAACUUCGU